GCCCGAGUGGUGAAAUUGGUAGACGCAGCGGACUCAAAAUCCGCCGCCGCAAGGCGUGCCGGUUCGAUUCCGGCCUCGGGCA
rnacentral:tRNA from 3 species